UGGAGAUAGUGUCACUGUGUUAAUUCGCGAGUGUCGGCGGAUAUAGCGCGGGCAAUAGCUAUCAAGAUUGGUGACAGAACCGAGUCGGGCAAGAUUCCAUUACGUGCGUUACGCACGUGGCACUUUAGCGUUACAUACGCCAAAGAGAAGAUUUUUGCUGGUGGAGGAAGGCAUCCGUCUUCACAGUACAUAUAAUUUUGACUCAACAUUCGCAAUUUCGUCAUCUCCCGUACGAUUUACGCUGAGUACGAAAACAUCGAGCGAGUUAAAAUAUCUAAUGCUAUUUAUUCCGAGCCGACUAACGGAAUAAACAUCGAGGAAAAUGCUAUCCGCGGUGGAUGCGACGUUCGAGACGCUAUUAUCUGAGACAUCGAGUCUGCCACGAGCUGUCAGCAUUGUCAGCUCGUAAGAGGUGUCUCCCGACAUCGCUUGUUGCCCAUGUCAUUUAUCAUGAAAGCUAUCCCAACUAAAUCUUGGCACGCUGAUCAUAGGAAAGAGCAAAAGAGUUUCAUUCAUGAAGCUCCACUCCGACGUUUUCGGAGGCUAUGACUAGCUGUGGCAUCCACCAAUGUUUAGAGAAGCUUAAACAAACUGAGUGUGCUCUGAUUUCUAUCGUAGUGUGCAAACCACUCGCAAAGAUGGAUUAAGAAAUUUAAAAGCAAGUAUAUAUAGUUGAAUUAUCAAAGAAUACACAUAAAAUAACAUUCUCAUCUUGAGAAUAUCUUUAUAUUCAGAUUAUAUAGUUAAAGACCAACUUACUUACAUGAAGAAGUUUUGCACAGUUUCAUUGAGAAAAAUAUAUUCUCAUUAUUCAAUAAUAAUUUUCAUGAGUUGAGAAGAAAAGGCAUCAAAUAGAAAAUAGCAACAGCUUCAAACCAAGAAUUAGAAUUUUUUAAUCUAUUGUUAUCAAAACAUUAUCAUGUUCUUUAGAUGAUUAUUGUACUUAAUGCUCGGAAACGUGAUGAUUGAAUAGUUCGGAUAAUUUAAACUGAAGGUAUAUUUGAACUGUUUGAAUCAUUUUAUUUUAAAUUCGAAAGUUUAAACCUAAAUUUUUUUACAUAGAAGAUUUUUGAUUAAAAAAUCUGUUUGCGUUGCUUGCACUUUUUGCACUCAGCUUCAUUUCUUUCAGUUUCUUUUUAAUGAUCAAAUAUAGAGGUGUCCAAGUUCACCUUAUUUAAAAACGAGAGAAGCGGUUACUUUAAAAAAUGUUUUAGGAAUUAAGUAAUGCAUUACAUGAGUAUACGUAAUUGAUUUUGGGGUCGUCAAGAUUAUGUCAAGAUAGACUAAUUUUUUAAAGAGAAACCCUUAUUUUUUAUUGCAUUUAUUUUUCUAGCUGAUGUUAAAUGUUUUCAAAACAUUGAUUACAAACCCUUUUUAGUUGAGAUCUUCCAAAGUUACGAAACUUUAAACUUUAAAUACCGUCGGCAUGUGUCAGAUUUACACACAUAACACGAAAGAGAUAUAAAUCCAGGAAACAUUCAUGUGGUAUACUUUGGAUAACGCCAGCUGCCAGCGGUACUAAAAUUUUGAAGUCCCAUAAUUUUGGAAGAUCUCAACUAAAAAGGAUUUGUGUUUUGAAACCAGUGUUUUGAAAAUAAUGUUUUCACAUUAGCCAUGAGAAUAUGCAAUAAAAAAUAAGGGUUUCCAUUUAAAAAAUUAAAAUCGAUUUUGACAUGAUUCUGAUGACACCACCCAAGAUCAAUCACAUGCUAUAAUGCAUUCCUUGAUCCUCAACAACCUUUGUCUGAAACAUUUUUUAAAAUAGGCACUUCCUUCAUUUUUGAAUAGAGUGUACGGGUAGUCUCAGACAAUAAUCUCUGUAGAUUCAUUUUAUUUUAAAUGUAAAAAUUUUUGGAAACUUUAAACAUCAACAAGUACAACGAUUACAAAUAUAUAAAGAAGACUCGUGAAAAAUUGUUCUUUUAUUUCCAAUGCAUAUUGCAUUUCCUUUUUUAUUUGCUGUCUAAAUUGUGCAAAUUAAAAAUGUAACGAAUUGACAUUACAGACAAUCACAGCUUAAAUUUAAAUUAUCCGAAUUAUUCAAUUUAAAAUAUUCGAACUGGAUACAUAUUCAUUUUUUGUUACUCCGAAUUAUUCAAACAGAUUGAAUAUGUUUGUAUACAGUAUAUAUGAAUCUUUUAUUCAAGGUCUAAUUAUACUGUAUCAAAAUAGAGAUGUAGUAUAAUGUUUUAUUAAAAUUUAAGAUUAUCAAAUUUUUUAAAUAAGACUUAAUUAAAGAAAAGAAACAAAUAUUGUUUUAAAAGAAACAAUACUGGC
rnacentral:lncRNA from 13 species